rnacentral:rRNA from 1 species
AUUGAACGCUGGCGGCAUGCUUUACACAUGCAAGUCGAACGGCAGCGCGGGCUUCGGCCUGGCGGCGAGUGGCGAACGGGUGAGUAAUACAUCGGAACGUGCCCAGUAGUGGGGGAUAGCUCGGCGAAAGCCGGAUUAAUACCGCAUACGACCUGAGGGUGAAAGCGGGGGAUCUUCGGACCUCGCGCUAUUGGAGCGGCCGAUGGCAGAUUAGCUAGUUGGUGGGGUAAAGGCCUACCAAGGCGACGAUCUGUAGCUGGUCUGAGAGGACGACCAGCCACACUGGGACUGAGACACGGCCCAGACUCCUACGGGAGGCAGCAGUGGGGAAUUUUGGACAAUGGGCGAAAGCCUGAUCCAGCAAUGCCGCGUGUGUGAUGAAGGCCAUCGGGUUGUAAAGCACUUUUGGCGGGAACGAAAAGGACUGUGCCAAUACCACGGUUCGAUGACGGUACCCGCAGAAUAAGCACCGGCUAACUACGUG